UCUCUUCGGGGAGUGUUAUAGCCCGCUGCACAAUACCCCUUCGGCGGGCUGAGGUACGCGCUCCGCAAGGAUGCUGGCGUAAUGGUCAUCAGCGACCCGUCUUGAAACACGGACCAAGGAGUCAACCUUAUGUGCGAGUGUUCGGGUGUCAAACCCCUACGCGAAAUGAAAGUGAACGCAGGUGAGAGCUUCGGCGCAUCAUCGACCGAUCCUGAUGUUCUCGGAUGGAUUUGAGUAAGAGCAUAUAGGGUUGGACCCGAAAGAAGGUGAACUAUGCGUGUAUAGGGUGAAGCCAGAGGAAACUCUGGUGGAGGCUCGCAGCGGUUCUGACGUGCAAAUCGAUCGUCAAAUAUGCGCAUGGGGGCGAAAGACUAAUCGAACCUUCUAGUAGCUGGUUUCCGCCGAAGUUUCCCUCAGGAUAGCAGUGUUGAACUCAGUUUUAUGAGGUAAAGCGAAUGAUUAGGGACUCGGGGGCGCUAUAUUGCCUUCAUCCAUUCUCAAACUUUAAAUAUGUAAGAAGCCCUUGUUACUUAGCUGAACGUGGGCAUUCGAAUGUAUCAACACUAGUGGGCCAUUUUUGGUAAGCAGAACUGGCGAUGCGGGAUGAACCGAACGCGAGGUUAAGGUGCCAGAGUAGACGCUCAUCAGACACCACAAAAGGUGUUAGUACAUCUUGACAGCAGGACGGUGGCCAUGGAAGUCGGAAUCCGCUAAGGACUGUGUAACAACUCACCUGCCGAAUGUACUAGCCCUGAAAAUGGAUGGCGCUCAAGCGUCUCACCCAUACCUCGCCCUCAGCGUAGAAACGAUGCGCUGAGGAGUAGGCGGACGUGGAGGUCAGUG
rnacentral:rRNA from 1 species